GGCCCGCACAAGCGGUGGAGCAUGUGGUUUAAUUCGAUGCAACGCGAAGAACCUUACCUACACUUGACAUACAGAGAACUUACCAGAGAUGGUUUGGUGCCUUCGGGAACUCUGAUACAGGUGCUGCAUGGCUGUCGUCAGCUCGUGUUGUGAGAUGUUGGGUUAAGUCCCGCAACGAGCGCAACCCUUAUUUUUAGUUGCCUUAUGGAACUCUAGAAAGACUGCCGGUUAUAAACCGGAGGAAGGCGGGGAUGACGUCAAGUCAGCAUGCCCCUUACACCCUGGGCUACACACGUGCUACAAUGGACGAGACAAUGAGAUGCAACUCUGCGAAGAUUAGCUAAUCUACAAACUCGUUCUAAGUUCGGAUUGUAGGCUGCAACUCGCCUGCAUGAAGUUGGAAUCGCUAGUAAUCGCUGGUCAGCUAUACAGCGGUGAAUUCGUUCCCGGGCCUUGUACACACCGCCCGUCACACCACGAAAGUCGGUAACACCUGAAGCCGGUGGGCCAACCUCUUGGAGGCAGCCGUCGAAGGUGGGACCGAUGAUUGGGGUGAAGUCGUAACAAGGUAGCCGUAUCGGAAGGUGCGGCUGGAU
rnacentral:rRNA from 1 species